UACAUAGGGGGCAAGCGUUAUCCGGAUUUACUGGGUGUAAAGGGAGCGUAGACGGCAGUGCAAGUCUGAAGUGAAAGGCAAGGGCUCAACCCUUGGACUGCUUUGGAAACUGUGCUGCUUGAGUGUCGGAGAGGCAAGUGGAAUUCCUAGUGUAGCGGUGAAAUGCGUAGAUAUUAGGAGGAACACCAGUGGCGAAGGCGGCUUGCUGAACGAUGACUGACGUUGAGGCUCGAAAGCGUGGGGAGCAAACAGG
rnacentral:rRNA from 1 species